GAUGGAUGGACCCGCGGUGCAUUAGCUAGUUGGUAGGGUAAUGGCUUACCAAGGCAACGAUGCAUAGCCGACCUGAGAGGGUGAUCGGCCACACUGGGACUGAGACACGGCCCAGACUCCUACGGGAGGCAGCAGUAGGCAAUCUUCGGCAAUGGACGAAAGUCUGACCGAGCAACGCCGCGUGAGUGAAGAAGGUUUUCGGAUCGUAAAACUCUGUUGUAGAGAAGAACAAGGAUGAGAGUAAAAUGUUCAUCC
rnacentral:rRNA from 1 species